rnacentral:lncRNA from 1 species
AAAAUCAGAGAAAGGAAAAUACACAGAGAAGUCUGCUACUGUCUUUAUCUGUUGAGAGUUUCUUUUUUCGAUUAUGUUUAGUUUCCUUCUUUUGCUUGAACUUUGAAUAGGUUUAAAUAUGAAUCAAUAAGGUUGGAUUUGAUCUUUUGAUGAGUCACUUAAGGGUUUAAAGUUGAUGUUAGCUGGUUGAUUUACAUUGUUUGCUGAUUUUUGGGCUGGAAAUUCACUGUUCUAUUGGGUUCAGAAUUUGUUGUGGUUUUCUCACUGACAUGGGGCUGUGUGUGUUGCUGAUUUCAAUCUCUGCUGAAACGCAACCUCUGAUUUUUCUCGGGUUAUUGUUUCCUUCAAUUUUCAGGUACACAUUCCUGAUCCUGAACGUGUAAAAUGGCACAUGUGAAUUGAAGAAGUGGAAAUCAAAGGAUGUGAUAAUGUUGUGCACUUAACUAGUUUUUUCUCUUUUUUGUGCUUUGGUUAUCUGCAAUCUCGUGUUAUUGGAUAUGUAGUAAGAAUCUGUGCUUAGUACUUCAUACAUUACUCGUUGGUUUGGAU